AGAGGAACGCGGGUGUAAACAAAGCAGUGAAGGGGAAUACGAACAUGAAGCAAAGGAGAUGGAGAAGGGCAAAGAAAAUGACAGAGGACCCUACCGCGACAAACUCAAAUUAAACGCGAGGCAAAGGCAUACCGUCCAUCUUCAGAGGGACCUGUGAAGCAAAAUCACACCCAUUAAAUCCCAUCUACAGUCCAUACAGCUGAAAUGGAGAGGGGAGCAGAAACUGCUACAGAGUCAGGCUGCUGGUGAUGCUACUGAAGACGUGAUACAAGGAAGUCUUCCAGUCUUCCCUGGAAGGAACAAACCCAGUUAUCAUCAGCCAAUGUGGGUGAAACAAGAUUGAAGGAGCAUUUCUAAAUGUAGCCGAGGGAACAAGAUCCACUGUGCCAGAUGGCGUGCGUCAUCGUUGCAGCAGCGAGAGGAGUCAAAGUGCUGAAACAAGACCAUGACGGGGGGAGAAAAGGACACCGCUGGUUCACAGAGAGGAUCUCCUUCUGUCUCCCCCUCAUCCUUCUCAUCGUCCCUCCUUCGAUCUGCUCGUCCCAAAACUUCCAUCCGAUCAACCGUCUGGAGAAAAGCUAAUAACAGCAUGAAACCAGGGGCCUGUAUCACGAAGAGAGAUCAACCUUUCCUGGGUUACCCAGACCUAUCCUGGGUUGACUAACCCUAACAAUGGCAAUCAGGAUAAUCGAAAUCACGACGCUGGAUAUCAACUCGGUAACUCAACCCAGAGUUGCUUUAUCAAGAGCCGUGAACGCGCACGCAGCGGACCAAUCACAAUCAUGAGAGAAGCGCAGCGUCACUGAGUGUCACUAAGCGUCCUCACAGAGCGCCGUAUGUGCGGAGAGAAAAAAGUAUGUGAGUAUCAGAGAUUAAUUCUACUAAAAUAUGAGGAGGAGAAAAGCAACAUUACAGAAAAGGCCAACACCGUGGCAGCUGCAGGAGGAGGAAACAUGCGUGGCAACGCAUAGCGGGAUGAAUAAUGUUUAGUUUUAGUUUAGAUUAGUUUAUUUGCACAUAAUGUUAAAAAUAAAAUUUACAAGAAUAAAAAAA